AGGCUGAGAAUCGCUUGAGAGGACUUAUGGGCCUUUUCCUUGAAGGAAAAGAUGGCACUUGGAACUUGGCCGGUGGAAGCAUCAUUCAGAUAUGAUUCAUUACAGGUAAGAGAAAGAAGACAGGAAUCUGCAGAAGAAAUCUUCCCAUAAGUCUGAUAUUUCUGGAAAAGGGGACAGAGUUGUCUGCUCUUUGUGACUUAGACUGGGCCAGUGCCGAAAUCACAAGUCCACAGAGUAUGCCUGAAGGAAGAUGGUUCUCAAUGCACCCACUGGGAAAAUGCACUCAUCCUCAAAUGACUGAGGCCGUUGUUUCCUUGCCUUUUAAGAUCUCAUCCCAGGAGGGAUUCUUCUCACUUUCUUUCAGUCCUGAACUCAGAGGAUUGUGCUGCUUAGGGAAGCCACCUCAUUAGGACAACUCAUUUUCCCUUCUCUCUAGUAGAGGUUACUGCCACAAGCUGAACACAGUGAAAAAUAAACUGUGAACUUGAAGAGGGAGGAGGGAAGGUGGAGGUGUUUAUCUCAAGCUUAAGAGAAGUUCUGCAAAAGGCGUUUUUUAGUUUGCCCAGUUUCAUUUCUUUAAUCCCUGGUUUCUCUGUGGUUUUGCUGUAUGCUUGCCCAGACACGUCACAUGCACCAGCCUUAUAACUAGAAAAGUCUCUGGCCUCACAAGAAGAGGGAGAUCUCCCUGAAAAUAAUCUCCGAAGGGUUGGUCUGGAGCAGGAAAUGAGAGUGAAAGGCACAUCUGUAGGAGGGGUUCCGCUUGCUCACACUCGGAAUGUGCUCGCCCUCUCCUCCUCUCUUUGAUGACAGGAAGUGCACAUACUCCAAGCUCCAUUUCCUCAAUGUCCCAGGUGAAAUUAUCCCCGGAGAGAGGGAUAACCCUAACUAUUAAAAAGAUGUAUGCUUGAUUCAAUGUUCCAAAUAAUAUUCAGCACAAACGAAUCUCUGGACACCUAAGCUGUAAUAGACCAUGAGAUUUGGAAGAGGAUGAGGAAGAGUACUAUCCAAGGAACCGGCUAUCAUCACAAAUUCUGCAGACUCAGACACCUCUCGACAGCAUGUCUCCAACAACCCCGCCCCCCAUUCAGAGCCACUCUUCCGGAAAUCAACUCACAGUUCACCUCCUGUCUAAAUUCUGGUGUAGAAAUGGAAACCUCUUGUAAGAUGUCAUAGAUAUUUUGGCUGAAUCAUCAGCAGAAGUUCUUGUCCAUCCCUUAGACUUAGGAUGGCCUGGUUAGUAUGGUUUGAUGGGACAAAGCUUGAAUACCAUGACCAGAAGCAUUUCUGUGUUCUCCUGUCUAAGGGUAUUUGUUAUGUCUCAGGAAAGCUGGAUGACUAUCUCAUUCUCUGAUGAUGGAGAAGAAUACUCACAACCUGCUCCCCACCUCCCACUGUGAAAUGCCAAUAUGGUGGAAACAGAAGGGAGAAGAAAGAACAGCGGAGACACUGAUCAUUCGAAACCAAAGAAGCAGCUCAUGCAUAAUGGAGAGCUAUCUGCAUGCAAAUUGCUAGGAGUACUUCCUACUUUUCUGGGAUAUUGUAUUUAGCCCUCUGUACUCUAUUCAGAAGAGUUCUGUUCCCCAGGCCAAGAAGGUAAAAUGUGGAUUGUACUUGAAUAGUCUUGUGAAUGAAAAAUGGCUAAAUUCUUUUUAUUAAGUGGAAUAAUCAAACUGGCAGAGUAAUUUCCCUAAAUUUAAAUUCCCAUUACAGAGAAAAGACACACUCUUGCCCACUUAUGGCCUCUGUUCUUUAUCACAUGCUUUCUCCCUAGCUGCAGAAGCCUAGAAGAACCUUGUUCAAUGGAUUGUCACAGAGAGAGCCGAAGGCAUGGCCACAGAAAGUAGGGCACAGGGAGAAGCUAACUCCCUAAUUUCUUUUUCUUUUUUCAGUUGAGAUAUACAUGAUGCUUUCUUGAUCUUUUGCUCUGUUUCCACCAGUU
ensembl:lncRNA LINC01416 long intergenic non-protein coding RNA 1416